rnacentral:lncRNA from 1 species
CAAAAUGCAAAGAAGAGUUUCAAAGUGAAGAACUUCAAAAACCGCUCAGCUUUUAAGAAAAUUUGAGACUCAUCGCGCUGCAACCGCUCAGCGGUAAAAUGGACUGCUCAGCGGUCUGUGGUAAAUUUUCCUUCUUCUUCUUUGUUUGCUUUUUGAGCAAUCUUACCUUAUAGCACUCAGUUUCAACCUUCAAUUUUUCAAUUAUAUGCCUUUCCCCUCUCAGAUGCAACAAUUAAACAUGCAAUGCACAGGAUUGAAAACAAUACAAUCAACUGGGUUGCCUCCCAAGUAGCGCUUGUUUAACGUCACGAGCCUGACCCAAACCUGUCUAGCACUCAUUAGUAAGUGCUUGUCCUUCCAACACCCUUCAGUAGGUGUGCUUACCUUGUAUCCUUCAGUGGAUACAUAAAAAUUUUAGCAUCCCUCAGUAUAUGCUACCUAAUACAAAAAUUUAAAAAUUGUUCAUGAUUACAUCACCAAGAUUUAAAAAUUUAAAGUACAAAAAUAUUGUUCUUGGAUAACUAGGGUGCCUCCCAGUAAGCGCUCUUUUUAUGUCACUAGCUUGACCCUGUAGAGUUCAAACACCCAUCAGUAGGUGUUGAUACUCCCCUCGCUUGAUAUUCUUUUCUUUUUCUUCUUCCUGUUAAAUUUCUUCAUAAAAUUGAGAACACCAAUCACAUGUUUCCAUGUUUCAACCAUAGGAACUUUAAUCUCUAAUUUCUUGAAGAUCUCUAUGCACUUGACCUUCUUUUCCUUCCUAUGAUAUCUUUUUGAAUGAGGAAGGGGUUUUUCAUAUCAUCUUUUCUUCUUUCCUCUCUUCCUCUUUUUCUCACUUUUUUCCUUCCUCAUUUUUUUUUCUUUUCUCUUUUUUUCUUUUCUCUCAACCACUACUUUUUCCUUAUCAUAAUUUUUCUCCCCCUCACUCAACUUUUCUUCUUCCUCUCCAUCUCUCUCUAUCUCCAUUUUCUUCUCAUCAACAACCUUAUCACUUUCAGAGAUAAUGGUUUGACAUUCCUCCCUAGGGUUAACUUUAGUACUAACCCUAGAAUCAUUCAGAGAUGCAGUCACGCAAUCUAAUUCCAUCUCCUCCCUUUUGCAUCUUGCGUUAUCACAUUCUGAAGAGUAAAUAAUAUUUUGCAGUACUUGUUGGAAUGUAUCUUCACGGCUUUCUGAUGGAGAUAAUUGCUGCC